rnacentral:lncRNA from 1 species
GGAUCCAAUCUGAGAUCUGGUUUGGAAUCUGGUUUGGAUGAAUGUCAAGGGUAUUUUCUUUAUUGUUAACAAUUUUUUUUAUUAUCAGAUGAAUAUCGAUAAAAGUUGGAUGACUGGCAAGGGUAUUUUCUUGCCUAAAUAUUAAGCGGGUGUUCAAAAUUUUAUUAAGUUUGCACGGUGUAAGGCUGACAGUGCCAGGAGGAUAAAAUAUCCAUGCAAGAGAU